rnacentral:rRNA from 1 species
GACGAACGCUGGCGGCGUGCUUAACACAUGCAAGUCGAACGGAAAGGCCCUGCUUUUGUGGGGUGCUCGAUUGGCGAACGGGUGAGUAACACGUGAGUAACCUGCCCUUGACUUUGGUAUAACUUCAGGAAACUUGGGCUAAUACCGGAUAGGAUCUCCUGCUGCAUGGUGGGGGUUGGAAAGUUUCGGCGGUUGGGGAUGGACUCGCUGCUUAUCAGCUUGUUUGUGGGGUAGUGGCUUACCAAGGCUUUGACGGGUAGCCGGCCUGAGAGGGUGACCGGCAAAAUUGGGAGUGAGAGACGGCACAGACUCGUACGGGAGGGAGCAGUGGGGAAUAUUGCACAAUGGGAGGAAGCAUGAUGAGGAAACGCAGCGUGCGGGAUGACGGGAUGCGGGUUGUAAAACGAUUUAGCAUGUGAAGAAGAGUGAGUGACGGUAAUGGGUAAAGAAGCACCGGCUAACUACGUG